GACGAACGCUGGCGGCGUGCCUAAUACAUGCAAGUAGAACGCUGAAGGAGGAGCUUGCUUCUCUGGAUGAGUUGCGAACGGGUGAGUAACGCGUAGGUAACCUGCCUGUUAGCGGGGGAUAACUAUUGGAAACGAUAGCUAAUACCGCAUAAUAGUAGAUGUUGCAUGACAUUUGCUUAAAAGGUGCAAUUGCAUCACUACCAGAUGGACCUGCGUUGUAUUAGCUAGUUGGUGGGGUAACGGCUCACCAAGGCGACGAUACAUAGCCGACCUGAGAGGGUGAUCGGCAACACUGGGACUGGGACACGGCCCAGAAUACUACGGGAGGCAGCAGUAGGGAAUUCUCGGGAAUGGACGGAAGGCUGAACGAGCAACGCCGCGUGAGUGAAGAAGGUUUUCGGAUCGUAAAGCUCUGUUGUAAGAGAAGGACGAGUGUGAGAGUGGAAAGUUCACACUGUGACGGUAUCUUACCAGAAAGGGACGGCUAACUACGUG
rnacentral:rRNA from 1 species